AGGGCAGACGUAAAUUCAUUUCAAAAUAUAACUUAACGUUAACAUAGAGGUGUGUGAGAGAGAUACGGAGCAGCGGUUAUCUGCCGCGUUACCUUAAAAAUAAACUAAGUGCGUAUGUCAAUGUUUUAAGACAUUUUAAGGGGUGAUUCAUAUCGCGUCUUUUGCGCGCUCAAGUUCGUUAUUUCAAAUAUAGGCGAAGCGACGCAUGAUAGCAAAAAAUAUCCGCAUGGCUUCUUUAUGCCGCCAGCCCCAAGCUGUCGGCUAUAGGUGCGUUCCGCUGGCGGGGAUGAAACUUUUGCCGCCGAAUACGUCACUCUCAUUUGUUGCGAGAUGCCGCCAGCAUGCAGCCGGCGGACCGACUGCUUAAUUUAUGCAAAAGCGGCUGCCGCGGCGGUUCGCCGUCAGACCUGUUUGCGAUUACGCCCUUUAUGACGCUUACUGCCGCCAGAGCACCGCCGACUCAUUGCCAUCUGCUCGUUUUUUCCGGCGCGUCCGCACCGCAUUGAUUUAAAAACAUUUCAACUUUUCAGAGUCAUCUGUGUUUUUGCAAGUAACUUACACGAACGUUAAUGUGAUUUCCAGCUGUAGGUAUUUUUUCCACACUUCACAAGGAUGGGGACAUCACUCAGAAGAGUGAAGUUUCGAGAAGCCCUGGAUAACAACUACAAUAACAUUCUGAAGUUCGUCCAAGGAGUCAACUAUCAUCAACGGGGUGCUUCUUGGGCAUUAAUUCGGAGACAGACAGGCAGAAAGGACAGAAACAACAAGCUGCAAGUCUGUACACUGAUUAGAAAACUUAUGACUUGAAUGGAUGUCAGUCUAGUGUGUCACAAAUACUAGUUCUUUGUUUAGCUAGAGGCGAUUGUACACUUUGUACUCUUACAAUGUUCUAUAUCAGGAGUCUCCAACGUGGUGCCCAUGGGCAGCAGGUAGCCCGCACAGAGUCUGUGAGGUGCCCACCAAAUCACAUUCUAUUAAUAGUCUCAAUUGUAAUAUUUGUUGAUUACAUAUUUUUUAUAUUGACUUGGCUUGGUUUACAUAUGUUACAAUUUUAAACAAUACAAAAACAUAUCAAAAAGUACAAUGAAAUAAAUCAACAAGUAAAACAAAAAAAAGUUUUGAGUAGACUAUAUCAAAAGUUAGCCCUCCAGAAUGUUUUAUCCAUUGUGGUAGUCCUUGCUCACAAAAAGGUUGGAGACCCCUGUUCUAUAUUGUGUCUGUUACAUAAAGAUACAUGAAGAAAUUAGUGAAUGUCAGUCUACAUUGUAAAAAUAAAAUAUUUGUUGCACUUAUUUUUUAAGUUUAAUUAACUCUAAAUUACAAUUUAUUUCAACUUUCUUGACUAGUGAGGAGUUGCUAUUAAUUAUAAAAAAUAAAGUUGAAAUAACUUAAGCUAACUACUUUAAUUUUAUAAUUGAUAGCAACUCUUCAUUAGUCAAAAAAGUUAAAUGAAUUAUAAAUUCAAGUUGAUUAAAUUGAAAAAUGUAAGUUCCGUUUUUUACAGUGUAGAGCGGGGUGGGCAUUCCUGGUCUUUGAGGGCCACUGUCCUGCAAAGUUUAGCUCCAACCCUAAUCAAACACACCUCAAUGUCAUUUCCAAGUCAUACUGAAGCCUUUGAUUGAGAUUUUCAGGUGUGUUUGAUUAGGGUUGGAGCUAAACUUUGCAGGACAGUGGCCUUCAAGGACCUGGAAUGACCACCCCUGCUGUAGAGUGUAAGCAGUGUUCCAAUGCACGAAAGGAAAUAUUAUUCUGUGUAGUUAUUAUUCUGAUGUUAUUUAUACUAUCUGAGAUAGUCAAUGAAUAAUAUGUAAUAAUAAUAUGUAAUAAUAUGUUAUGUACAAAAUAAAAGUAUGAAAUCGA